CAGGUUGGAGUGCAGUGGUAUGAUCAUAACUCACUGCAGCUUCAAAUCCUAGGGAUCAAGUGAUUCUCCUGCCUCAGCCUCCUGAGUAGCUGGGAUUGCAGGUGGGAGUCACUGUGCCUGGCUCCUCAUGGAGUCAUGAUUUUUCUGAUUUGAUCUUGCUUGAGACAUCUCCGUACCAUUUCUGUGAGACCUGGUGGUAUGAAAUCGAUAAGAUUGCCUGAGGCUCUCAGUGAAAGAGUCAGGCACAACACAGUAGAGAGAGGUCAAAGUCAGCCACGGGACAAAUGGAGAGGACUGCAAAUGACAAACCAUUGCUCUUCAUCCUUUGUUUUGGAAAAUUAGCUUAGGUUUUAUUAAGUGCUUAAGAGCUCACGAUGUGCAUAUCUGCAUGUCAAACCUUAAUAAGGUUUCUGAGAAAGCUGAGAGUAUUUGUCUUUUUUGCCCCAGGCACUGUUGAAAAAUUUAGUAAGAGUGAACUCUAAAAAGUGCAAUAUUCUUCCACCUGUUUUGCCAAAAAUUUAAUUUACAAAACUUUGGUCUUACUAAGCAAAAUGUAUCGAGCUUACCUGAACACAGUUAGAGUUCUCAAAAUAGGAGGGUGGCUAAGCAAAGUAAAUAGUGUAACAAGCCUCAGUGUGAUUUCACAACAGGUUUUUCUUCAUCUUAUGGUGAAUUCCAGAGACUCAGUUUUCUUCAAGUCAUUCUGUCUCAGUCAAACAGGGAAAAUAAAUGCAGUUGAAUGAAUGCAGCUCCAGCCUCAUUUUAAACUAUUCAUUUGUUUCCAUUUCUUCCACCCCAAAAGUCUCAGCAUUUCUAGCGAGUAGGCAAAGUGAGAGAUGCCAGUUUCACUUUUUCUUUGUUCUUGUCUCUUCCUUGCUGAUAAGCAAGGACCUGUGAUAACAGGAGCCCUCAAGGGGAAGAAAAUGAUAAUCCCGUUGUCUGGAGAAUGAGAGGGACUUAAUGGUAGUAAAUGCUCAAAGCGACCUUGUGACUAUAUACUGCUCAGGUCACCAUAAGUUUGGUGGCUGUGCAUGAGGAAUGUGUGUUCAAUGAUGAAAACGAAAAUGGAAGUUUUCCUGGAGUCUGUGGCAGGGGCUGGUUGUUGUCUGCAUUGUACUCAUUCCCACGCUGUUGCUAACACAACUCCAGUCAUUCUGGAAGAAGAUAAGCCCAGAUACUUACUUUUCUAGCUUCCCUUAUAAGUAGGGAUGACACAUUUGUCACAGCGACAGAUACGUCAUGGUUCAAGCCAAUUACACAUAAGCAUAAAUCUACUGGAUCUCAGAAUGCUGCCUCUCUCCCAGUAGAGGGACAGAUAUGGCUGGUGUGGUCUUUUCUUCUUCUUUCUGCCUUGAAUGUGAAUGUAUUGAUCAGAGCUGCAGCAACCUGGCAUUAUUAAGCUGCUGAACCAACACUAGCAAUUGCUUAGAUCAAAACUUCUUACUUACAUUGUUGAAAAAUAAGCCUUCUUUUUAAGCCACUGUAGUUGAGUUUUUUUUUUUUUUUUUUUUUUUUUUCUUUUUUUUUUUUGAGACAGAGUCUCGCUCUGUCGCCCAGGCUGGAGUGCAGUGGCGGGAUCUCGGCUCACUGCAAGCUCCGCCUCCCGGGUUCACGCCAUUCUCCUGCCUCAGCCUCCCAAGUAGCUGGGACUACAGGCGCCCGCCACUACGCCCGGCUAAUUUUUUGUAUUUUUAGUAGAGACGGGGUUUCACCGUUUUAGCCGGGAUGGUCUCGAUCUCCUGACCUCGUGAUCCGCCCGCCUCGGCCUCCCAAAGUGUGUAGUUGAGUUUUUUGUCACUUGGAGCCAAGAGCUUUCCUAACUGAUGGAUUCUCUCCCACAUAUUUUAUUAUAAAUUAAUAAAU
rnacentral:lncRNA from 10 species